AGUCUGGUGCCAGCAGCCGCAGUAAUUCCAGCUCCAAUAGUGUAUACUAAAGUUGCUGCAGUUAAAAGCUCGUAGUUGGAUUUCGGUUAAUGAAAAGUUAGUCCACUUAAUAUAUAAGUGCGUACUGACGUUUUAUUUCCUUCUUUUCAGAUAUACAACUUGUUGUGUUCUGAAUCUUUUACUUUGAGAAAAUUAGAGUGUUCAAAGCAGGCGUAACCAAGCCUUUGAAUAUAUUAGCAUGGGAUAAUGGAAUAAGACCUUUUGCCUUAUUUUCGUUGGUUCUUGAGGCUAAAGUAAUGAUUAAUAGGGAUAGUUGGGGUCAUUAGUAUUUAAUUGUCAGAGGUGAAAUUCUAAGAUUUAUUAAAGACUAACUACUGCGAAAGCAUUUGACAAGGAUGUUUUCAUUAAUCAAGAACGAAAGUUGGGGGAUCGAAGAUGAUCAGAUACCGUCGUAGUCUCAACCAUAAACUAUGCCGACCAAGGAUUCGGGGGUGUUAUAUGAAUGACCCUCCGGGCACUUAUAGAGAAAUCAUAAGUAUUUGGGUUCCGGGGGGAGUAUGGUCGCAAGGCUGAAACCUAAAGGAAUUGACGGAAGGGCACCACCAGGAGUGGAAUAUGCGGUUUAAUUUGACCCAACACGGGAAAACUUACCAGGUCCAGACACAGUGAGGAUUGACAGAUUGAGAGCUCUUUCUUGAUUUUGUGGGUGGUGGUGCAUGGCCGUUUCUAGUUGGUGGAGUGAUUUGUCUGGUUAAUUCCGUUAACGAACGAGACCUUAACCUAUUAAAUAGUUACACAUACUUGGGAUUCGUCCUAAUAGUAUGUGGUUAACUUCUUAGAGGGACUCUUCACGUAAAGAGUGAAUGGAAGUUUGAGGCAAAAACAGGUCUGUGAUGCCCUUAGAUGUUCUGGGCUACACGCGUGUUACACUGAUAUAUUCAACAAGCAUUAUAAUUCCUUACCCGAUGGGGUUGGGUAAUCUUUUAAAUGUAUAUCGUGAUGGGGAUAGACCAUUGUAAUUAUUGGUCUUGAACGAGGAAUUCCUAGUAAGUGCAAGUCAUUAGCUUGCGCUGAUUACGUCCCCCCUUUGUACACACCGCCCGUCGCUCCUACCGAUGAAUGGUCCGGUGAGGACUCAGGAUGACCGUGGAUUUUGGUAUAAUAUACCAUGCCAUUGUUUGUCAGAAUCUGUUCAAACCUUAUCAUUUAAAGGAAGGAGAAGUCGUAACAAGGUUUCCGUAGGUGAACCUGCGGAAG
rnacentral:rRNA from 1 species